rnacentral:sRNA from 1 species
UACAACAGUUUAUAGUCACUUCAGGGUCAGGACACAGGUUGAACAUCACGGCGGAGAAUGACUGCCGGCGGCUGCACUGCUCCCUGAGAGACUUGAGCUCCCUGCUGCAGGCCGUGGGCCGCCUGGCCGAGUACUUUAUCGGGGAUGUGUUUGCUGCACGGUUCAAUGAUGCCCUCACAGUCGUGGAGAGGUUGGUCAAAGUCACUCUGUACGGAUCUCAGAUAAAAUUGUACAACAUUGAAACUGCUGUGCCAUCAGUAUUGAAACCUGACCUCAUUGAUGUGCAUGCUCAGUCCCUGGCUGCGCUGCAGGCUUACUCUCACUGGUUAGCACAGUAUUGCAGUGAAGUUCACCGGCAGAACACGCAGCAGUUCGUGACACUCAUCUCUACUACCAUGGAUGCAAUCACACCUCUAAUCAGCACCAAGGUCUCGAAACAGCAAAGCCUACACCUUUUAUCUAACUCUCUGUCUCUCCUUCUGUUCCUAUACCCAUUUACUAGAAAAUCUAAAUAUGACACAGAGUUAGACCCAUAAAUCUUUCUGCUGUUAUACACCUGUUUUAUUUCAUGUUCUUUUUUAGUUGUAGCCUACAUGCAUUCAAAUACAACUUUACUUUUUUAGUUAUCUAAAUUCCACAUGAAUACAUGCUCACUGUGAAAAAGUAAAAUAUCGUUCAGAUUUCCAGACUAAAAAGUUGUGAUACCUCU